rnacentral:rRNA from 1 species
GACGAACGCUGGCGGCGUGCUUAACACAUGCAAGUCGAACGGAAAGGCCCUGCUUUUGUGGGGUGCUCGAGUGGCGAACGGGUGAGUAACACGUGAGUAACCUGCCCUUGACUUUGGGAUAACUUCAGGAAACUGGGGCUAAUCCCGGAUAGGAGCCCCCGCUCCAUGGUGGGGGUUGGAAAGUUUCGGCGGUUGGGGAUGGACUCGCGGCUUAUCAGCUUGUUGGUGGGGUAGUGGAUUACCAAGGCUUUGACGGGUCGCCGGCCUGAGAGGGUGACCGGCCACAUUGGGACUGAGAUACGGCCCAGACUCCUACGGGAGGCAGCAGUGGGGAAUAUUGCACAAUGGGCGGGAGCCUGAUGCAGCAACGCCGCGUGCGGGAUGACGGCCUUCGGGUUGUAAACCGCUUUCGCCUGUGACGAAGCGUGAGUGACGGUAAUGGGUAAAGAAGCACCGGCUAACUACGUG